GUAGGGAAUCUUGCGCAAUGGGCGAAAGCCUGACGCAGCCAUGCCGCGUGAAUGAUGAAGGUCUUAGGAUUGUAAAAUUCUUUCACCGGGGACGAUAAUGACGGUACCCGGAGAAGAAGCCCCGGCUAACUUCGUGCCAGCAGCCGCGGUAAUACGAAGGGGGCUAGCGUUGCUCGGAAUUACUGGGCGUAAAGGGAGCGUAGGCGGAUAGUUUAGUCAGAGGUGAAAGCCCAGGGCUCAACCUUGGAAUUGCCUUUGAUACUGGCUAUCUUGAGUAUGGAAGAGGUAUGUGGAACUCCGAGUGUAGAGGUGAAAUUCGUAGAUAUUCGGAAGAACACCAGUGGCGAAGGCGACAUACUGGUCCAUUACUGACGCUGAGGCUCGAAAGCGUGGGGAGCAAACAGGAUUAGAAACCCCGGUAGUCC
rnacentral:rRNA from 1 species